GCGCCCGUGGAAGCGCCUGAUCCGGUUCGCCGGAUGACGAGGACGGGGAGGAUCGAGUUUCGGCGGAUGCCCCGGGGCGUGGAAGCGCGCCCUCAACCGCCGCUCCAAAUCCCGGGAGCGAUCCCGGGGACAAAGGCGGCGGAGCUUCGUUU
rnacentral:ncRNA from 2 species